rnacentral:lncRNA from 10 species
UGCCCUAGGAAGUCUGCUGCCAUGUCAUGAAAACAUGCCAGUAGUCCCAUGGAGAGGUCCACGUGUUGAGGAAUCGAAGCCUCCUGCCAAUAGCCAUCAAGGAAUAGGAUGCCUUCUGCCAGUAAUCAUGCAAGUGAGCCGUCUUGGAAGCCAAUCCUCCAUUCCCAGUCAAGCCUCAAAAACUGCAGUCCUGGCCAACAUCUGGACUGUAACCUUAGAGAAAUGCUGAGUCUGAAUACCCAGGUCAAAACGGGGAGGAAAAGUAACUGGCAUCAUUAAGGUGAUAUUUAUAUUCAAAGAGGUUAACCAAUUUUUAUAGAGAUACAUUAUAUCCUUGAAAAAUGGGUGUUACUACUAAAUUUUUCACCCUCAAAAACAUAUUGUACAUCACGUGAGUCACACAUUUCUAUUUUGAAUAGAAGACUAAACUUGUAUGGCUCCUUCCAGCAAAGACAUCAUAAAAUACACUUUCUUUCUUAGCUGAUACUCUAGAUAACAUUUACCAUAAUAUCUGAAUUUUAUAGAGUAAUAAAUUCCACCAGUCCUUUUCAAAAAUCUCAAAUGACCCUCCAAAGCAUUCAUUUAGCUCCUUUCUGAAUGUCAUAGUCAUGGCACUGCAUGGUUCUGUUUUCCCUCCUUUGAAAUGAAUCCUGGUAACAAGGGGGAAAGCUGAGCUGACCUUCUAAUGUGACUUCUCACCUUUCCAGCUGUCCAGCUGUUCUCAUGCUGCUAAUAAAGACAUACCCAAGAGUGAGUAAUUUAUAAAGGGAAGAGGUUUAAUUGAUUCACAGUUCCACAUGGCUAGGGAGGCCUCGAAAGCAUAGCUGAAGGCGA